UGGGGAAUUUUGCACACUGGGGGAAACCCUGAUGCAGCGACGCCGCGUGAUUUAGAAGGCCUUCGGGUUGGAAAAAUCUUUUCUAUGGGAAGAAAAUGACAGUACCAUAGGAAUAAGGACCGGCUAAUUACGUGCCAGCAGCCGCGGUAAUACGUAAGGUCCGAGCGUUGUCCGGAAUCAUUGGGCGUAAAGGGUACGUAGGCGGGUAAGCAAGUUAGAAGUGAAAUCCUAUAGCUCAACUAUAGUAAGCUUUUAAAACUGCUCAUCUUGAGGUAUGGAAGGGAAAGUGGAAUUCCUAGUGUAGCGGUGAAAUGAGCAGAUAUUAGGAGGAAUACCGGGGGCGAAGGCGACUUUCUGGCCAUAACCUGACGCUGAGGUACGAAAGCGUGGGUAGCAAACAGA
rnacentral:rRNA from 1 species